rnacentral:rRNA from 1 species
ACUCAAAGGAAUUGACGGGGGCCCGCACAAGCAGCGGAGCGUGUGGUUUAAUUCGAUGCGACGCGAAGAACCUUACCUGGGCUUGACAUGCGGCCGCACCAGGGGUAACGCCCUGUACCCGCAAGGGACGGUCGCACAGGUGCUGCAUGGCUGUCGUCAGCUCGUGCCGUGAGGUGUUGGGUUAAGUCCCCUAACGAGCGCAACCCCUGGGGUCCGUUACCUUUUGGUGUGUCGGGCCCGACUGCCGCGCGCAACGCGGAGGAAGGCGGGGAUGAUGUCAAGUCAGCACGGCCCUGACGUCCAGGGCGACACACACGCUACAAUGGCCGGUACAACGGGUCGCGAAGCCGCGAGGCGGAGCCAAUCCCACCAAAGCCGGCCCCAGUUCGGAUCGCAGGCUGCAACCCGCCUGCGUGAAGCCGGAGUUGCUAGUAACCGCGGGUCAGCACACCGCGGUGAAUACGUUCCCGGGCCUUGUACACACCGCCCGU